rnacentral:rRNA from 1 species
GACGAACGCUGGCGGCGUGCUUAACACAUGCAAGUCGAACGGAAAGGCCUCUUUCGGGGGGUACUCGAGUGGCGAACGGGUGAGUAACACGUGAGUAACCUGCCCUUGACUUUGGGAUAACUUCAGGAAACUGGGGCUAAUACCGGAUAGGAGCUCCUGCUGCAUGGUGGGGGUUGGAAAGUUUCGGCGGUUGGGGAUGGACUCGCGGCUUAUCAGCUUGUUGGUGGGGUAGUGGCUUACCAAGGCUUUGACGGGUAGCCGGCCUGAGAGGGUGACCGGCCACAUUGGGACUGAGAUACGGCCCAGACUCCUACGGGGGGCAGCAGUGGGGAAUAUUGCACAAUGGGUGGAAGCCUGAUGCAGAAACGCCGUGGGCGGGAGGACGGCCUUCGGGUUGUAAACCGAUUUCGCUCAUGACGAAGCUUUGUGUGACGGUAGUGGGUAAAGAAGCACCGGCUAACUACGUG